CAGAAAUGCGUGAUAGGAAUGCUCCUAGCACUACUAUUGCAGGACCUGAGGAUCAAAACAAGGAAAUUGUGUACACCACAGUUGCACUGAAUCCAGUACCAAGUUCAUCAAAGCCACAGAUUAAUGAGACAUCUGAGUACGCAAUAAUAAAAUGUACUCCUGGAGACCCUACAUCUACUCCAUGAUGGUCAGUGAUGGAUGUGUGAUGUCUUAACAAGAAGGGACUUAUAAGGUCAUUUAGGAAGGCAAUGUUGUAAAGCCAAGAAAAAAAAAAGACUUUUGUUAAUUGGUCCAAAUGUUGCAAAUGUUUGUAUUAAAGCAUUGGUGUGAAACCACAUGUAACAAAUUACUUUUACAAACCCUUUGUUACAAUUUUUUUGACCAAGUCUGAAUUGGAAUAUUUUAUAAUAGUAAUAUUGUUUUUGUACACACAGAAGCACUGUACCACAAAAUUGCCCAUGUUUAUUAAUGCAUCCUCUUCUGUCCAAAAGAAAUAAGUAUCCUCCAUGCGGAGUAUAUACUGGCUCAGACUGUCAUAAUUUGUUUUAAUUUAUAAGCACAUGCCAGUCUUCCUGUCAACAAAUUCCAUAAUGAGUACAAAGACAGUUUACAGACAGUCCAUUUAUAUGAUCAUUGUUGCACAUUUCAUUAUUCUUUUCACUAAGGUGCAUGUCUUUUAGAUGAUGUUGCUUAAAAAUAAUGAUUUUUAGAUUAUCUUGAAUGAAAAUAACAGUGGAAAAUAUGAAUUUAUCACACAGAGCAAAGUAAAGGACAAUUAUUAUUGCAACACCAUUCGCUGAAUUCCUCAUUCCUCUGCCCCAAAGUUAAUGCAUCCCUUCACAUUUACUGGGGCCUCAACCCUCUUGUUAUUUUUCAUUGGGCAGUGUGUUUUAGUCUUCUAAUCUUAGCUAUAUUUGUUCUACAACAAAUAUAUCAACACUGUUUUCUAACUACUAUAUUGUGCAAUGUAGCACUGGAGUUUAUUAAGCCUGAUUUUUUUUUACAUAAUAGUACCAGACUAUUGACUCUGAAAAUAAGCCUUGUUAUAAUUAAAUGUAUUGACUAUAAGUCAUGAAUACAUCUACAUUUUAGUAAGGUUACAGGAAAACUGAUCUUCACAUUUCUAAUAAGGAGAAACUGAUCAGAUUGUCUUUCUCAUCGCAUCAUACUUGUGUUUUAUUUUCCUGUACAAAAAACAGAAUUCUCUGUAUAUGUGCUACAGUUCUGAAAUAUUACUUAAAAGUAAAUUAUGAACUAAACAUUUUUCAUUUUUGAACCAACAAUGGAAAUCACUGCUACACUACUCACACAUCCAUAUCUCUUUAUGAUUACUUAGUUGUUCAUUGCCUUAUUUCACAUCAUAAGGUGCAGAACUCUUUGGUAAUUUCACAGCUGCAUAAAUUAUAUUUACUCUAUAUUCUGUUUUAUGUUUUAGCCCUUGGCAUAAGUACUGUGCUAUGCAACACAUCUGAAAUAUAAUAAUUGACAUCCUA